UGCAACUCGCCUGCAUGAAGUUGGAAUUGCUAGUAAUCGCGAAUCAGAAUGUCGCGGUGAAUACGUUCCCGGGCCUUGUACACACCGCCCGUCACACCAUGAGAGUCGAUAACACCCGAAGCCUGUGAGCUAACCUUUUAGGAGGCAGCAGUCGAAGGUGGGGGUUGAUGAUUGGGGUGAAGUCGUAACAAGGUAGC
rnacentral:rRNA from 1 species